AGAGAGAGAGAGAGAGAGAGAGAGAGAGAAUUAGUCAUUGGGGAUUGAUGAUCUAGCCAGACAUUUUCAUGGCUUCGAUCGCACAGAAUGUUUUGAUGGCGCUGACCGCGAUGGUGAACAAGCCAUGCCGGCGGACUCCCACCAAUCAGGCGCCAGAACCAGAUGGUGUCUCCUCCUCCUGUCCGCAGUGGCCGCCGGGGAUUGGCGACCGGGCUUCUCGAGAAGUAUUUGAAGAAAUCGGAGGAAAAUAAAGUGAAAAACGACAGAGAGGCUGGAGAGCUACUACAAGAGAAACUACAAAGACUACUUCGAAUUUGUGGAAGGGCCAUCGAGCAAUAAGAUGGACCAACUCACCGAAUCAGAAAAGGGUAUUCUCGAUUGGCUUAAAAGUGACAAAUGAUUAGAGAGAGUCCAUGAUUUUUUAGGACACUCCUUUUAUUUCUUUAACUUUCUUAUAAUUAUUUCGUUUAUCAGCAUUAGGUGUUGAAAGCAUGCCACUUAACUUGUGUACGGAGUCUCUAUACUCUUUAUAUAUAUAGAUAGAUAGAUAGAUAGAUAGAUAGAUAGAUAGAUAGAUAGACAUGCAGUCUUUCCUCACUAAUAAAUUGAAGAUUUUGGGUUUAAUGUGAUAUUAGAAUUGGAUUAUAUCUCAAUUCAUAUCGAAUGGGCAGCUACCCAUUUGUCAAAUCUCAUGUGGUCUUCAUAAUCCAGCUUGCACGUGGAGAAAGAUGUGUUGAAGUAACUUGCAUUACUCGUCUAGGAGAUUCAUGUGCUCUUUAGAUAUAAGCGAUGUCCCUCUACUUAAAAGUUUAAGUUUUUUGGUCGGACAUUAUAACAUUAGCCUUGUGGUGAACAUAUAUUUUUGUUCAAAAAGACUGCUUAAUUUGAUGUUA